AAAUUGAAGAGUUUGAUCAUGGCUCAGAUUGAACGCUGGCGGCAGGCCUAACACAUGCAAGUCGAACGGUAACAGGAAACAGCUUGCUGUUUCGCUGACGAGUGGCGGACGGGUGAGUAAUGUCUGGGAAACUGCCUGAUGGAGGGGGAUAACUACUGGAAACGGUAGCUAAUACCGCAUAAUGUCGCAAGACUAAAGAGGGGGACCUUCGGGCCUCUUGCCAUCGGAUGUGCCCAGAUGGGAUUAGCUAGUAGGUGGGGUAACGGCUCACCUAGGCGACGAUCCCUAGCUGGUCUGAGAGGAUGACCAGCCACACUGGAACUGAGACACGGUCCAGACUCCUACGGGAGGCAGCAGUGGGGAAUAUUGCACAAUGGGCGCAAGCCUGAUGCAGCCAUGCCGCGUGUAUGAAGAAGGCCUUCGGGUUGUAAAGUACUUUCAGCGGGGAGGAAGGGAGUAAAGUUAAUACCUUUACUCAUUGACGUUACCCGCAGAAGAAGCACCGGCUAACUCCGUGCCAGCAGCCGCGGUAAUACGGAGGGUGCAAGCGUUAAUCGGAAUUACUGGGCGUAAAGCGCACGCAGGCGGUU
rnacentral:rRNA from 1 species